GUUUUCCUCUUGUGACCCACCUAGCACAUUUCCUUGUAUGCCAAAAUAAAGUCAACAGGAAAUGGCAUCUGCAGAGGGAGGAUGGACCAGAGUGACAUGUAUCAUGAGGACAGCUUGAGCUUCUACUACUCUAGCCCACUAAAGGUUGAUCUGCUCAUCAUUGACUACACAGGGUCAGGAUGAAUCACUGGAGUUUAUAAAGCAUCACUACUGGCAUGCCUCCAAGGAACAAAAAAAAACCUAAAAAAUCAGAAUUUACUUGUAAAAUUAUUCCAUUCCACGAAGUUUGAUGUGGUAGCACAUAGGACCCUGUAAACUGUUGGUACACUUUUGAGACUCAUGGCUUUUUUUUUUUUAAUUUGCAUCUUGAGAAAGCUCACAGUUGCAUCACUAAGAAUUCUGAUAGAGGUGACAUUGGCUUCUAUCAGGGAAGUGAGUGGUCUCUGUGUAUAAACCUAACUGCAUUUUUCACCUUCCUGGAAAGCCAUCCAUCUUGGUCCUAUAAGAGCCAUAGGUCCUACACUUUUUAUCAUUCCUUGUUCUUUGAAUACCAUUUCAAGCCCCCCAGAUCAUCAUCCUCUCUUCAUAGACAGUAUCCUAUCUCUUCUCUCUGGGCUUCAGGCUUUAGACAUGUCGCUGAAACUUUAAUUCUAGAGGAUUAAUGUUGACUUUCUUCUCAACUGCCACUUUUGGUUUCCAACAAAGAUUGGGGUAUGAGAUGUUAUUAUAGAAAGCAUACAGUUAAGACUUAGCUUAGACUUGGCAUGCUAUGAAGUGCUUAUAUUCAUAUCGUCUAAUGUAAUUCUCAUAAAUAUCAAAGUGGUUAUGAUAGUUGUACCAGUUUUAAAGAUGGAAAGCUGAAACUGAAAAUAAUAAAGUCACAUACCUAAAGUCAUAGACAUCAUAGUGAAAAGGACUAUAACUCAGAGCUCAGCUAAAUUCCUUCCCUGGGCAGUGGCAAAAACAACAAUUUCAUAUUUGCUUCUCUUUUUUUUUUUCCCUGUUACUGUGAAUUGAAUCUAGCAUUUUGAACCACUGAACACUUAUCUAACAAUCUGUACACUCCACCACAACCCUUUGAGACAGAAUCUCACUAAGUUGCCAAGGACGGCCUUGAAUUCACUAUGUAGCCCAGGCCUGAUCCUCCCAACUCAGUCUGUGCAGUGGGAUCCCAGGGCUAUGCCACCAGGCUCAGUGAGAUUUGCCAUUUUAAAAAGUAAUUGUUUGUAUUGUUUUUAAUUAUGUCUACGGUGUAUCUAGGUAUGUUCAUGUGAGAGAGUUAUGGGGAUAUGUGUUGUGAUUUUGUAUUGGAUGCCUGGGAGCUGGAGUUACAGAGGGUUGUAAGGCCUACAAAUAGGGUGCUGGGAACUGAACUCUGGUUCUCUGCAUGAGUAGUAUGUGAUCUUCACCACUGAACCAGGUAUUUGCCAUCUUAAAACCUAUGUCGCAGCUCUCCCACAGAAGCCUUUGAUUGGCAGCUGCUUCUUUCUAUUGUCAUUGGUCCAUUCAUCAGUGGACUGCCCACUCAAGGGCGCAUCAAGAUGCUGGCCAUAGCUAACGGUUUUAACUGCUCUAUCCUUCCUGGAUCACAGUUUGUUUGUUUGUUUUGGUUUUUUAACUUUACUUAUUUUUCAGUGUUAAUUUUUGGAAGGGCAUAGGACUUAUGAUCCAGAAGAAAUAAAAACUGGUGAUAACAAAGGAAGGAUUAAAGGAAUAAGGAAGGAAAUUAUUUGAAACAUCACAAUAUCACAGCUUCUGUGUUCUCACUUGCUUACCUUAGAGUUCAUAAGCUCUUUGUUUUAGUGUUAGACAGGAUCUCCACAUACAACCCAUGCUGGCCACAAACUCCACAUCCUCCUGCCCCCACUUUCCAUGUGCUGGGAUUUAUAGGAGUAGACCAACCACACUUGGCAUUCAAGAAGUCUAAGAAAAAAGUAUGCCAUGCUCAUUUCUCUUAGACUUUCAGCUAUACAACAGAAACAUCUAUAUGAUGUUGGGAAGAACAAUAGAGAAAUUCAAAGCUCCAUGGAUUUAAAAUGUUAAUUUUAAAAAUGUCAUAUUACAGUUAUAACCAAUCAAACAACAAUCAAAUGUCUUCAAUAAAAAACAUUUCUUGACUGUCAAAUAGCUCCAAAACUUUUGGGGAGAAAAGAAAACUAUAUCUGGAGAAGGAUCAGUGGUCAAAUGCACACUGACAGACACUGGACUUGGCUUUGAAGGAUGUGCAAGGUGGAAUUAAGGCAGUGGGUAAAGAAGAUGUCUAUCUUUGUUAAUAAAACC
rnacentral:lncRNA from 1 species